rnacentral:rRNA from 1 species
AGUCGAAUUUGUGUCUCGUGCCGCUGGUUCAUCGUUCGCGGUGUUAACUGACGAGUCGCGAGACGUCCUGCCGGUGGGCUUAGCUCGCGAGGGCGGCCCAACUCAAUCCUGCCGCGGUGCUCUUCAUUGAGUGUCGAGGUGGGCCGGCACGUUUACUUUGAACAAAUUAGAGUGCUUAAAGCAGGCUAAAACUUUGCCUGAAUACUGUGUGCAUGGAAUAAUGGAAUAGGACCUCGGUUCUAUUUUGUUGGUUUUCGGAACCCCGAGGUAAUGAUUAAUAGGAACGGAUGGGGGCAUUCGUAUUGCGACGUUAGAGGUGAAAUUCUUGGAUCGUCGCAAGACGAACAGAAGCGAAAGCAUUUGCCAAAAACGCUUUCAUUGAUCAAGAACGAAAGUUAGAGGUGCGAAGGCGAUCAGAUACCGCCCUAGUUCUAACCAUAAACGAUGCCAGCUAGCGAUCCGUCGACGUUCCUCCGAUGACUCGACGGGCAGCUUCCGGGAAACCAAAGCUUUUGGGUUCCGGGGGAAGUAUGGUUGCAAAGCUGAAACUUAAAGGAAUUGACGGAAGGGCACCACCAGGAGUGGAGCCUGCGGCUUAAUUUGA